CCGUGGGCGGGCAGCUACACAUGCAGUCGAGCGGCAGCGGGAAGUAGCUUGCUACUUUGCCGGCGAGCGGCGGACGGGUGAGUAAUGUCUGGGAAACUGCCUGAUGGAGGGGGAUAACUACUGGAAACGGUAGCUAAUACCGCAUGACCUCGCAAGAGCAAAGUGGGGGACCUUCGGGCCUCACGCCAUCGGAUGUGCCCAGAUGGGAUUAGCUAGUAGGUGAGGUAAUGGCUCACCUAGGCGACGAUCCCUAGCUGGUCUGAGAGGAUGACCAGCCACACUGGAACUGAGACACGGUCCAGACUCCUACGGGAGGCAGCAGUGGGGAAUAUUGCACAAUGGGCGCAAGCCUGAUGCAGCCAUGCCGCGUGUGUGAAGAAGGCCUUAGGGUUGUAAAGCACUUUCAGCGAGGAGGAAGGGUUCAGUGUUAAUAGCACUGUGCAUUGACGUUACUCGCAGAAGAAGCACCGGCUAACUCCGUGCCAGCAGCCGCGGUAAUACGGAGGGUGCAAGCGUUAAUCGGAAUUACUGGGCGUAAAGCGCACGCAGGCGGUUUGUUAAGUCAGAUGUGAAAUCCCCGAGCUUAACUUGGGAACUGCAUUUGAAACUGGCAAGCUAGAGUCUUGUAGAGGGGGGUAGAAUUCCAGGUGUAGCGGUGAAAUGCGUAGAGAUCUGGAGGAAUACCGGUGGCGAAGGCGGCCCCCUGGACAAAGACUGACGCUCAGGUGCGAAAGCGU
rnacentral:rRNA from 1 species